GGGGAAUAUUGCACAAUGGGCGAAAGCCUGAUGCAGCGACGCCGCGUGAGGGAUGACGGCCUUCGGGUUGUAAACCUCUUUCAGUAGGGAAGAAGCGCAAGUGACGGUACCUACAGAAGAAGCACCGGCUAACUACGUGCCAGCAGCCGCGGUAAUACGUAGGGUGCGAGCGUUGUCCGGAAUUAUUGGGCGUAAAGAGCUUGUAGGCGGUCUGUCGCGUCUGCCGUGAAAAUCCGGGGCUCAACCCCGGACUUGCGGUGGGUACGGGCAGACUAGAGUGUGGUAGGGGAGACUGGAAUUCCUGGUGUAGCGGUGAAAUGCGCAGAUAUCAGGAGGAACACCGAUGGCGAAGGCAGGUCUCUGGGCCACUACUGACGCUGAGUGAGCGAAAGCCAGGGGAGCAAA
rnacentral:rRNA from 1 species